rnacentral:rRNA from 1 species
ACGGAAGGCAGCAGUAGGGAAUAUUGCACAAUGGGGGGAACCCUGAUGCAGCAACGCCACGUGUGGGAAGAAGCAUUUCGGUGUGUAAACCACUGUCGUGAGGGAAUAAUUCUUGGCUCCGGCCAAGUUGAAUGUACCUCGAAAGGAAGCACCGGCAAACUUCGUGCCAGCAGCCGCGGUAAUACGAGGGGUGCAAGCGUUGUUCGGAAUCACUGGGCGUAAAGGGAGCGUAGGCGGAGACGCAAGCAGUCUGUACAAUACCGGGGCCCAACCCCGGACCUGCAGUCUGGACUGUGUCGCUUGGAUAGUUCAGGGGCAGGCGGAAUUCGUGGUGUAGCGGUGGAAUGCGUAGAGAUCAGGAAGAACACCGAUGGCGAAGGCAGCCUACUAGGGAGUCAUCGACGCUGAGGCACGAAAGUGCGGGUAGCAAACAGGAUUAGAUACCCUGGUA